rnacentral:tRNA from 1 species
UGAGGUAUGGCUCAGUGGUAUAGCAUGUGCUUAGCAUGCACGAGCCUCCUGGGUUCAAUCUCCAGCACAUCAG